rnacentral:rRNA from 1 species
GAUGAACGCUGGCGGCGUGCCUAAUACAUGCAAGUCGAGCGAACGGACGAGAAGCUUGCUUCUCUGAUAUUAGCGGCGGACGGGUGAGUAACACGUGGAUAACCUACCUAUAAGACUGGGAUAACUUCGGGAAACCGUAGCUAAUACCGGAUAAUAUUUUGAAACGCAUGGUUCAAAAGUGAAAGAUGGUCUUGCUGUCACUUAUAGUUGGCUCCGCGCGGCAUUAGCUAGUUGGUAAGGUAACGGCUUACCAAGGCAACGAAGCAUAGCCGACAGGAGAGGUUGAUGGGCAACACUGGAACUGAGACACGGUCCAGACUCCUACGGGAGGCAGCAGUGGGGAAUCUUCCGCAAUGGGCGAAGGCCUGACGGAGCAACGCGGCGUGAGUGAUGAAGGUCUUCGGAUCGUAAAACUCUGUUAUUAGGGAGGAAGAUAUGGGUAAUUAACUGUUCACAUCUUGACGGUACCUACUCAGAAAGCCACGGCUAACUACGUG